AAUGCCAGUUUCAUCCUUUUGCGCAAUUCUCUACCAAGAUUCCACACCUCGAGCAUAGAAAAGGAAUCCGCAAGAGCGGUAAAAGGUAUCGCAGUCACUAGCUGUGAGCAGUUUGCGAAACUUAAGUUUAACUUCUCGAACUGCUUCAACUGCUUGUGACCUUUCCAUGGCUGUAUACAAAGCAGUAAUCCUCCUUCUGGCACUUGCUGUCAUUUCCAUGGCCAGCUACAAAUCCGGUGGAGACGGUUGGCCAAGUUGUGACGGGCAGACUUGCUUUUACGAUGCGAACACCAGAACGCAGAGCUGUCCGCAAGGAUGUCGUUGCAUCAUAAACGAAACAGCUAAAGGCUAUCAGAAGGGCUUCUGUUGGAACUGAGCCCUGAAACACUUCGGAUUUUGUAAUUAAGAAGCAUGCAAAUAUAUUCUGUCUUCAAUAAAAACAAAGGCCAGCUAACAAACUUCA